rnacentral:rRNA from 1 species
GUGGGGAAUAUUGGGCAAUGGGGGGAACCCUGACCCAGCGACGCCGCGUGGGUGAAGAAAUCCUUCGGGAUGUAAAGCCCUGUUGUAUGGGAAGAGCGGAAGACGGUACCAUACGAGGAAGCCCCGGCAAACUACGUGCCAGCAGCCGCGGUAAUACGUAGGGGGCAAGCGUUGUCCGGAAUUACUGGGCGUAAAGCGCACGCAGUCUGAAGUAUAAGUCGGUAGUAAAAGGCGGGGGCUCAACUUCCGUAUAUCUAUCGAUACUGUAAAUCUAGAGUAUGUGAGAGGGAAGCGGAAUUCCCGGUGUAGCGGGGAAAUGCGUAGAUAUCGGGAGGAACACCAGUGGCGAAGGCGGCUUCCUGGCACAAUACUGACGCUCAUGUGCGAAAGCUAGGGCAGCGAACGGGAUUAGAAACCCCUGUAGUCC